CUAAAAAUAACAUCUCCUGCACUGCUUGCCGAGCAAAGGAAAAAGAAGCACAUCUAAAAUGAGCAAACUGUGUACAUCACAUGAACAGUCGUGAUCUCUGUUGAACUCCCUUACCUUGGACAAAACAUAGAUGUAUGUAGACACCAAGACCUUUGUAUGGACAGUACCCCCUCCUGUUUAAACCUGAAACAAGGUUCCAAGAAUGGUUGAAGACGUUUCAGUCUUGGCCUGUACAAAUGAAAAUUAGUCCUAGUCAAAUGGCCCAGGCAGGAUUUGUGUACUUAAUCAGGGGGGACGCUUGCAAGUGUUUUCAAUGUGGUCGCAUUCUCAAGAACUGGGAAGUAGAUGAUGAUCCUUGGGUCGAACGUGAAAAUGGUCUCCAGACUGUCUGUAUUUGACACCUGGUGCGAGUACCUCAGAGGUGUGGCCCGCUGGGGUAGUCAUGUGGAUUUACAUUUGUAACUAUGAGUGUGAUGUUAAUUGUAAAAUAGGUAAUGUUUUCAUUUGUGAAACUCUAUCUGUUAUUGUUAAUAAAUCAACAAUAGAG